GUUUCUACAGGACAUAUAUCUGAAGUGGAAGGAUACAGAAAUUAGCACUGCUCUUAAGCAAGGAUUACAAGCAAAUUCUUGAAGCAUUCCAUGUUUUU
rnacentral:snRNA from 1 species